UCUACGGGGGGCUGCAGUGAGGAAUAUUGGUCAAUGGGCGCGAGCCUGAACCAGCCAAGUAGCGUGAAGGAUGACUGCCCUACGGGUUGUAAACUUCUUUUAUAAAGGAAUAAAGUGAGGCACGUGUGCCUUUUUGUAUGUACUUUAUGAAUAAGGAUCGGAUAACUCCGUGCCAGCAGGCGCGGUAAUACGGAGGAUACGAGCGUUAUCCGGAUUUAUUGGGUUUAAAGGGAGCGUAGAUGGGUUGUUAAGUCAGUUGUGAAAGUUUGCGGCUCAACCGUAAAAUUGCAAUUGAUACUGGCAGCCUUGAGUACAGUUGAGGUAGGCGGAAUUCGUGGUGUAGCGGUGAAAUGCUUAGAUAUCACGAAGAACUCCGAUUGCGAAGGCAGCUUACUAAACUGCCACUGACAUUGAUGCUCGAAAGUGUGGGUAUCAAACAGGAUUAGAUACCCCGGUAGUC
rnacentral:rRNA from 1 species